rnacentral:rRNA from 1 species
CCUACGGCGGGCUGCAGUGGGGAAUAUUGGACAAUGGGCGAAAGCCUGAUCCAGCCAUGCCGCGUGUGUGAAGAAGGCCUUCGGGUUGUAAAGCACUUUCAGUGGGGAAGAAAGCCUUGGGGCUAAUACCCUCGAGGAAGGACAUCACCCACAGAAGAAGCACCGGCUAACUCCGUGCCAGCAGCCGCGGUAAUACGGAGGGUGCGAGCGUUAAUCGGAAUUACUGGGCGUAAAGCGCGCGUAGGCGGUCUGAUAAGCCGGUUGUGAAAGCCCCGGGCUCAACCUGGGAACGGCAUCCGGAACUGUCAGGCUAGAGUGCAGGAGAGGAAGGUAGAAUUCCCGGUGUAGCGGUGAAAUACGUAGAGAUCGGGAGGAAUACCAGUGGCGAAGGCGGCCUUCUGGACUGACACUGACGCUGAGGUGCGAAAGCGUGGGUAGCAAACAGGAUUAGAUACCCCGGUAGUC